UACGGGGGGGCGGAAGCGUUGUUCGGAAUUACUGGGCGUAAAGGGCCAGUAGGCGGCCAACUAAGUCCGACGUGAAAUCCCAAGGCUUAACCUUGGAACCGCGUCGGAUACUGGAUGGCUUGAAUUCGGGAGAGGGAUGCAGAAUUCCAGGUGUAGCGGUGAAAUGCGUAGAUAUACGGAGGAACACCAGAGGCGAAGGCGGAUCGCUGGGCCAACACUGACGCUGAGACGCGAAAGCUAGGGGAGCAAACGGG
rnacentral:rRNA from 1 species